rnacentral:rRNA from 1 species
AGUGAACGCUGGCGGUAGGCCUAACACAUGCAAGUCGAACGGCAGCACAGUAAGAGCUUGCUCUUACGGGUGGCGAGUGGCGGACGGGUGAGGAAUACAUCGGAAUCUACUUUUUCGUGGGGGAUAACGUAGGGAAACUUACGCUAAUACCGCAUACGACCUACGGGUGAAAGCAGGGGAUCUUCGGACCUUGCGCGAUUGAAUGAGCCGAUGUCGGAUUAGCUAGUUGGCGGGGUAAAGGCCCACCAAGGCGACGAUCCGUAGCUGGUCUGAGAGGAUGAUCAGCCACACUGGAACUGAGACACGGUCCAGAUUCCUACGGGAGGCAGCAGUGGGGAAUAUUGGACAAUGGGCGCAAGCCUGAUCCAGCCAUACCGCGUGGGUGAAGAAGGCCUUCGGGUUGUAAAGCCCUUUUGUUGGGAAAGAAAAGCAGCAGGUUAAUACCCCGCUGUUCUGACGGUACCCAAAGAAUAGCACCGGCUAACUUCGUG